UCCCCCAGUAACGGCGAGUGAACAGGGAAGAGCCCAGCACCGAAGCCUGUGGCCAUUUGGUUACUAGGCAAUGUGGUGUUUAGGUCGUUCCGCAGAGGAUCUGCUCCACCCUAAGUCCAUCAAUGAGUACGGUAGUAUGGACAUGGCCCGCAGAGGGUGAAAGGCCCGUGGGGGUGGAGUCUCGGUAGGACAGAGCCUCUCUGGAUAGACCUUGGAGUCGGGUUGUUUGUGAAUGCAGCCCAAAGUGGGUGGUAAACUCCAUCCAAGGCUAAAUACAAGCACGAGUCCGAUAGCGAACAAGUACCGUGAGGGAAAGUUGAAAAGUACUUUGAAGAGAGAGUAAACAGUGCGUGAAACCGCUCAGAGGUAAACGGGUGGAGUUGAACUGCAAGCUUUGAGAAUUCAGCUGAUGAGUGUGGUUUGAGCUUGGUCAAAUUGGUGGACUCCGGGGUCUGCGUAGUAGCAGGUCUCUGCCUUUGGGUGGGGAUGCGCGAUGCGCUUAUCAAGCGUUGUGCCCUCCGGCUGUUCUUCGACCUGCUUGUCAGUGCACUUUCUCAGAGUGGUCACCACGACCGGCACCGCUGUCUGGCCGCUAUGGUUAAACCGGUUUUGCAUAGUCCUCGUGGCUUUGCUUGAUCGGGAUGGCAGGUAGCUCGUUGACUUGCCUGUGGCUUGCCACAGGCGUUCGGUUUUCGAGUGUAUCAGCUGACCAUAGUGGUUCUGUGCAGUGUGUCGGGAGACGGCGGCUUUGAAGGUGCGUGCAUGCGUUGCUGCUCUGCUGACUUGUCCGGGUUUUGGUUGUUUUGUUGCCUGUUCAAGCAGGCCUUAUGACUUGUCCGGUUUUGGUUGUUUUGUUGCCUGUUCAAGCAGCCCUUAUGAUGGCUCGGAUUAGUCUGGUGGUGUAGUGGUGGUGCUGUUCCAAGGGCCAACAGUCUGUGGUGUAGUGGUAGACUUUCCACCUGACCCGUCUUGAAACACGGACCAAGGAGAGUAACAUGUGCGCGAGUCAUUGGGCGUUACGAAACCCAAAGGCGCAGUGAAAGUAAAGGUCUGACUAGUUCAGACUGAGGUGAGAUCCUGCCGUUUCUCACGCGUGGUACCUCCAAGCAUCGAGCGGCAGGCGCAUCACCGGCCCGUCCCAUGGCAGUUGUUUUCGAACAGUUCGGUCGGGGCGGAGCAUGAGCGUACAUGUUGAGACCCGAAAGAUGGUGAACUAUGCUUGCGCAGGUUGAAGCCAGAGGAAACUCUGGUGGAGGACCGCAGCGAUUCUGACGUGCAAAUCGAUCGUCAAACGUGAGUAUAGGGGCGAAAGACUAAUCGAACCAUCUAGUAGCUGGUUCCCUCCGAAGUUUCCCUCAGGAUAGCUGGCGUUCUGAGAAAUAAACAGUUUUAUCCGGUAAAGCGAAUGAUUAGAGGCCUUGGGGGCGAAACGUCCUCAACCUAUUCUCAAACUUUAAAUGGGUGAGAAGUCCAACUCGCCUAAACGGAGUUGGGCGUUGAAUGUGAGUGCCAAGUGGGCCAUUUUUGGUAAGCAGAACUGGCGCUGUGGGAUGAACCAAACGUUCGGUUAAGGUGCCUAACUCGACGCUCAUCAGAUACCACAAAAGGUGUUGGUUGGUCUAGACAGCAGGACGGUGGCCAUGGAAGUCGGAAACCGCUAAGGAGU
rnacentral:rRNA from 1 species